rnacentral:rRNA from 1 species
AACGAACGCUGGCGGCAUGCCUAACACAUGCAAGUCAAACGAGAUCUUCGGGUCUAGUGGCGCACGGGUGCGUAACGCGUGGGAAUCUGCCCUUUGGUUCGGAAUAACAGUUGGAAACGACUGCUAAUACCGGAUGAUGACGAAAGUCCAAAGAUUUAUCGCCAGAGGAUGAGCCCGCGUAGGAUUAGCUAGUUGGUGUGGUAAAGGCGCACCAAGGCGACGAUCCUUAGCUGGUCUGAGAGGAUGAUCAGCCACACUGGGACUGAGACACGGCCCAGACUCCUACGGGAGGCAGCAGUGGGGAAUAUUGGACAAUGGGCGAAAGCCUGAUCCAGUAAUGCCGCGUGAGUGAUGAAGGCCUUAGGGUUGUAAAGCUCUUUUACCCGGGAUGAUAAUGACAGUACCGGGAGAAUAAGCUCCGGCUAACUCCGUGCCAGCAGCCGCCGUAA